AGCAGCCGCGGUAAUUCCAGCUCCAAUAGCGUAUAUUAAAGUUGUUGCAGUUAAAAAGCUCGUAGUUGAAUUUCGGGACUAAUAUGUCGGUCGUACUUUGUACGUACUAGCAUUAUUGGUUUCUCCCUUCUGACGAACCACGAUGUCAUUAAUUUGGUGUCUUGGGAAAUCAGAACUGUUACUUUGAAAAAAUUAGAGUGUUUAAAGCAAGCUCGCGCUUGAAUACAUUAGCAUGGAAUAAUGAAAUAGGACGUUUGAUUCUAUUUUGUUGGUUUCUAGGAUCGACGUAGUGAUUAAUAGGGAUAGUUGGGGGCAUUAGUAUUCAAUUGUCAGAGGUGAAAUUCUUGGAUUUAUUGAAGACUAACUACUGCGAAAGCAUUUGCCAAGGAUGUUUUCAUUAAUCAAGAACGAAAGUUAGGGGAUCGAAGACGAUCAGAUACCGUCGUAGUCUUAACCAUAAACUAUGCCGACUAGGGAUCGGAUGAUGUUAAUUUUUAAUGACUCAUUCGGCGCCUUACGG
rnacentral:rRNA from 1 species